UACGAAGGGGCUAGCGUUGCUCGGAAUCACUGGGCGUAAAGCGCACGUAGGCGGAUUGCUAAGUCAGGGGUGAAAUCCUGGAGCUCAACUCCAGAACUGCCUUUGAUACUGGCGAUCUUGAGUCCGGGAGAGGUGAGUGGAACUGCGAGUGUAGAGGUGAAAUUCGUAGAUAUUCGCAAGAACACCAGUGGCGAAGGCGGCUCACUGGCCCGGUACUGACGCUGAGGAGCGAAAGCAUGGGGAGCGAACAGG
rnacentral:rRNA from 1 species